GUGCUAAAGUAAAAUAAAAAAUGCAGAGAGAGGGGACAAUGCACAUCUAUCACAAGGCAGAAGCAGCCAUGGGGAUGCUGACAUUGUGAGGGUGAAGGGCAAUCAGCUGUCCUGAGGCAGAGGAGAGCUGAGUUAACAGCCAAGCACUAGGGUGGAGAUCAGAAAACACUCCAUGGAAGGGGCAGCAGGAAGACCUGGUCACUAAGCUGCUUUGUGCCUUGAAGAACGUGUCUGCCUCCUGAGCCAGGGGGUCCCAAUUCCUGCAGGAUCCCUGGCCCCAUGGGAGUCCUGCUGGUAGACAGGGAUAGUGACUGUUCUUUGGCAGCAAGAGUAGGACGUCUCUCAGUGCACGGAUACUCUGGCCUUACCAGCGUGGGAGGCUCCCACACACACCACCCACAUGUGGCUCAGCUUGGACUGGUCCCCACACCCCCAUGCACCUAAAUCUUACUCUUCAAGACUUCCCACUUGUAAACCUUCCCAGAUCUUCCUUGCUUCUCCUGUUCUUCCUGACCAGUAAUGCAUCUUCCCUCAGACCUAUCCUGUGGCCAGUGGCUCUCUACCUUUCACUAUGACUUUUUUUUUUUAAGUCACCCAUUACAGGUUUGAAAAGUGACUUGAAGAAUGAGCCUUUUUUUUUUGUCCCUGUCAGUCCCAGCAGAGGCCUUGCACAUGGUGAAAGCUCGAGAUCACAGACGGUCAGGUCAUCCUGCUCUGACAUGACCACCCCACCCCUACCCACCAUGGCCCAACGUUAGUCUGCCAAGUCUCAUCUCGUCUGGGACAGGAAGAGCCGAUGUCCCUGG
rnacentral:lncRNA from 1 species